rnacentral:rRNA from 1 species
CCUACGGGAGGCAGCAGUGAGGAAUAUUGGUCAAUGGGCGAAAGCCUGAUGGAGCAACGCCGCGUGCAGGAUGAAGGCCUUCGGGUUGUAAACUGCUUUUAUAAGCGAGAAAUAUGAUGGUAACUUAUGAAUAAGGAUCGGCUAACUACGUGCCAGCAGCCGCGGUCAUACGUAGGAUCCGAGCAUUAUCCGGAGUGACUGGGUGUAAAGAGUUGCGUAGGUGGCAUAAUAAGUAGCUAGUGAAAUCUGGUGGCUCAACCAUUCAGACUAUUAGCUAAACUGUUAAGCUCGAGACCGUUAGGGGUAACUGGAAUGUCUAGUGUAGGAGUGAAAUGCGUAGAUAUUAGAAGGAACACCAAUAGCGUAGGCAGGUUACUGGGACGGUUCUGACACUAAGGCACGAAAGCGUAGGGAGCAAACGGGAUUAGAUACCCCGGUAGUC